rnacentral:rRNA from 1 species
UACGAAGGGGGCUAGCGUUGCUCGGAAUUACUGGGCGUAAAGCGCACGUAGGCGGCUUCUAAGUCGGGGGUGAAAUCCUGGAGCUCAACUCCAGAACUGCCUUCGAUACUGGAAGCGCUGAGUCCGGGAGAGGUGAGUGGAACUGCGAGUGUAGAGGUGAAAUUCGUAGAAUAUUCGCAAGAACACCAGUGGCGAAAGGCGGCCUCCAGCUGGCCCG